rnacentral:rRNA from 1 species
UGGACCUCAACUCAGGCAAGAAUACCUGCUGAACUUAAGCAUAUCAGUAAGCAGAGGAAAAGAAAACAACUGUGAUUCCCUUAGUAACUGCGAGUGAAGCGGGAAAAGCCCAUCGUUUAAUCUCCCUGGACUAUGGACAGGGCGAAAUGUAACGGUAUGGAUAGGUUCUCUACCAACAACAUCUAAUCAAAGUCCUCCGGAUUGAGGUGCCAGAGAGGGUGACAGCCCCGUGUAUGAUUAGAUGAUAUCUGUUGGGUAUGUGACCAAUUCCGAGAGUCGGGUUGUUUGGGACUGCAACCUAAAGUAGGUGGUAAACUCCACCCAAGGCUAAAUAUUGACACGAAACCGAUAGCGAACAAGUACUGUGAAGGAAAGUUGAAAAGAACUCUGAAAAGAGAGUUAAAAGUACGUGAAACCGCUAACGGGGAAGCGGAAGGCAGUGUCGAGAUUGAGCAAGUGAGUUGUGUUGUAAAUAUUGAGUGUAUACACACGCAAUAUUUAUCGCAACUAGCUUUGCUUGAUGCGUCAGGUCUAUUGGUGUACGUUGACUCAAUCAUAAACAUUUGGCUAUCACAAUAUUUGUGUAUUGUUUAUUACAGCAGUGUAUAGAUGUGUGGUUGCGGUUAAUGAUCCGUCACGUGUGCUGAUAUAUAUGUGGAGAAGCGCUGAUGAUUUGUUGUGAGGUCGGUUGGUGCGUAAUGUUGCUUGUAUGUGGUUACAGUUGUGACCAGGUGUGAGAUGUGUAUUGUGCAGUUCAACAAUCAGUGCUAGUUCCUGACGAGAUACCUAACUUUCCGACCCGUCUUGAAACACGGACCAAGGAGGCAGAAUCUGUAGCAAGUUGGAGGGUGGAAAACCCGACGGCGUAGUGAAAGCAAGAGAUGAGAUCCUGCAGCAAUGUGUACAUUGUUGUGGGCGCAUCAUCGGCCAGUUACUCUGACACCUUUGAGGUGUCGUAUGGGUGAUUGAGUUUGAGCUACAGAUGCUGGACCCGAAAGAUGGUGAACUAUGCGUGAGCAGGGUGAAGCCAGAGGAAACUCUGGUGGAGGCUCGAAGCGAUUCUGACGUGCAAAUCGAUCGUUUGACUUGCGUAUAGGGGCGAUAGACUAAUCGAACCAUCUAGUAGCUGGUUCCCUUCGAAAUAUCCCUCAGGAUCGCUGAGACAAGUGGGUAGACAGUUUCAUCGGGUAGAGCGAAUGAUUAGAGGAAUCGGGGAUAUAUUACUCUCGACCUAUUCUCAAACUUCCAACCGGUGAUAGUGUUGUUUUCUUGAUGUUUUGAAAUGACACAUUGAAUGUUUUUGUCUCAAGUGGGCCAUUUUUGGUAAGCAGAACUGGCGAUGCGGGAUGAACCGAGAGUUGAGCUAAGGUGCCUAAGAACACGUUGAUAGAUACCACAAAAGGAGUCGGUCGAUAAAGACAGCAGGGCGGUGGCCCUGAAAGUAGGAAUCCGCUAAGGAGUUGUCUAAAAACUCACCUGCCGAAUCGACCGGCCCUGAAAAUGGAUGGCGCUGAAACGUGUCACCGAUGCUUGACCUUUACCACGAGAGAUGUUGGUAGAGGGUAGAAGGGCGCGACGGUAGCAGUAAAGUAUAAAGUGUAAACUUGUAUGGAGCUGCCGUCGGUGUAGAUCUUGGUGGUAGUAGCAAUUAUAAAAGUGAGAACCUUUUAGGCCGAAGUGGAGAAGGGUUCCACGUGAACAGCAGUUGGACGUGGGUUAGUCGGUCCUAAGCGGUUGCCUAACGGCUAUUUCAAUGCUAGCUUUUGCUGCUAUGUGGUUGGUGUUUGAAUAGAAUAUCGAUUGUAUAGUAGUGGGCUGGAUUUCCGCGAAAGGGAAUCAGGUUAAUAUUCCUGAACCGGACGAUGGAGACGUUGCCAUUGAUAUAUAUGUAUUGUUAUUGAGCAAUUGGUAAUGUGUGUAUAUUGAUAAUGGUAACUUAGCGGUAACGCAAACAAUCUCGGAGACGUUGACAUUUAUGACGGGGAGAAUUGUCUUUUCUGCAUAACAGGUGAAAGCACCUUGGAAUUGAGUCAUUCAGAGAUAAGGUGGAAAGCCUGGAAGAGCACCGCAACUAUUGCAGUGUCCGUAUUGUAAGUGUUGACCCUUGAAAAUCCGAGGGAGUGUGUAAAUUUCAUGUCCGUCCGUACCGAAUCCGCAUCAGGUCUCCUAGGUGAGCAGCCUCUGGCACUGGAACAAUGUAGGUAAGGGAAGUCGGCAAAAUAGAUCCGUAACUUUGGGAAAAGGAUUGGCUCUAAGGGCCGGGCCAAUCGAGCUAGUGUUGCCUAGGUUGGUGGGGUUUGAUUUGGGUGUGUUGUGGUAACACAUGAUGUGCUCAGUUUGAACAACGCUAGCCAUGGAACACCUGUGUGAAUUUCAGUUAGCGUUAGUUGUGUUUAGUGUUGUUUGUUUCAUUUUGGGAUGGAUAGCAUUAGCCAACUAGCGUAGCAUAUGGAAUUCUUUACGAGUGGCAAGCAUCGGUCAACUUAGAACUGUUACCAACUAGGGGAAUCCGACUGUUUAAUUAAAACAAAGCAUUGCGAUGGCUGGAAACAGUGUUGACGCAAUGUGAUUUCUGCCCAGUGCUCUGAAUGUCAAAGUGCGGAAACGCAACCAAGCACGGGUAAACGGCGGAAGUAACUAUGACUUUUUAAAGGUAGCCAAAUGCCUCGUCAUCUAAUUAGUGACGCGCAUGAAUGGAUCAACGAGAUUCCCACUGUCCCUACCUACCAUCCAGCGAAACCACAGUCAAGGGAACGGGCUUGACUGAGACAGCGGGGAAAGAAGACCCUGUUGAGCUUGACUCUAGUUUGAUUUUGUGAGAAGACAUGAGGGGUGUAGAAUAGGUGGGAGAUGACUAUCAUUAUAUGGUGGUAGUUAUCGAUAGUGAAAUACCACUACCUUUAUCGUUUUCACACUAAGUCGGUUGCACGGGAGAUACUCGUUCUUUAUAUAAAAGGACGGGUGGAUUCGUAGCUAUAAGACAGAUGUUAUAAUCUGUUGACCCAUCGCCGAUGACAGAAUCAGAUG